UGGGGACGACGUCAAGUCAUCAUGGCCCUUACGCCUAGGGCUACACACGUACUACAAUGGCGCAUAACAAAGGGCAGCGAUACCGCGAGGUGGAGCCAACUCCCAAAAAGUGCGUCCCAGUCCGGAUUGCAGUCUGCAACUCGACUGCAUGAAGUUGGAAUCGCUAGUAAUUCGAGAUCAGCAUGCUCGGGUGAAUGCGUUCCCGGGCCUU
rnacentral:rRNA from 1 species